UACGGAGGGUGCAAGCGUUAUCCGGAUUUACUGGGUUUAAAGGGUGUGUAGACGGACUUUUAAGUCAGCGGUGAAAUCUCCGGGCUCAACCCGGAAACUGCCAUUGAUACUAUUGGUCUUGAAUAUUGUGGAGGUGGGCGGAACGGGUCAUGUAGCGGUGAAAUGCUUAGAGAUGACCCGGAACACCGAUUGCGAAGGCAGCCCACUACGCAAUGAUUGACGCUGAGGCACGAAAGCGUGGGGAUCAAACAGG
rnacentral:rRNA from 1 species